rnacentral:rRNA from 1 species
GAUGAACGCCGGCGGCGUGCCUAAUACAUGCAAGUCGAGCGAACAGACGAGGAGCUUGCUCCUCUGACGUUAGCGGCGGACGGGUGAGUAACACGUGGAUAACCUACCUAUAAGACUGGGAUAACUUCGGGAAACCGGAGCUAAUACCGGAUAAUAUAUUGAACAGUAUGGUUCAAUAGUAAAAGACGGUGUUGCUGUCAUUUAUAGAUGGAUCCGCGCCGCAUUAGCUUGUUGGUAAGGUAACGGCUUACCAAGGCAACGAUGCGUAACCGACAUCAGCGGGAGAUCGGCCACACUGGAUCUGAGACACGGUCCAGACUCCUACGGGCGGCAGCGGUAGGGAAUCUUCCGCAAUGGGCGGGAUCCUGACGUAGCAACGCCGCGUGAGUGAUGAGGGUCUUCGGAUCGUAAAACUCUGUUAUUAGGUAAGACCAAAUGUGUACGUAACUAUGCACGUCAUGACGGUACCUAGUCAGAAAGCCCCGGCUAACUACGUG